AUGGAGGCCGCGGCGGCGCGCAAGGAGUGGCGCGCCGUCCCCGACGCCCCGCUCCGCACCAAUGGCGCCGAGGAUGCUGCGGAGCGCGUGAAGAUGGCGCAGUCCGAGGGCAGGGCCAUCUACCAGGAUGAGUCGGGAGGGCUGGAUGACUUCUGCUCGAUCACCAUUGAUGGGACCGGUGGGCUCAGCGAGGACAUCCUGCAGCAGCGCCUGCAGAGCAUCGUGCGACAGCGGGAGGAGCUGCAGCAGGUGGAGAUCGACCUGCGUGCACAGGCCAUCGCCCACCCACAGAUCAUUGAGGUGCAGCGCCGAUUUGGGGAGGCUACCAAGGAGCAUCUAGUAGCAGCUGAAAAGCUCAAGAUUGAACAGGAACAACUACAUGAACGUGAGAAGUACAUUCUUGAGCUGGAAAUGAAAUUGGAUGAUACACAUAGGGAAUUGGAUGCUUUGAAGAUUGACCAUCAAACGGUAUGGGCUAAUCAGGAUCUUCUUAGAGAACAGACCAAGGAAAUCGCAAGUUUCAGAAGGGAGCGUGAUAAUUCUGAAGCUGAAAGAGCCCAACAUCUUAAACAAAUUCAUGAUCUGCAAGAACAUCUGCGAGAAAAGGAAAGCCAGUAUCUUGCAUUAGAGGAACAGCAUAGGGUUGCUCAAGACAACAUUCUUUAUAAAGAUGAACAGUUGAGGGAUGCUCAUGCAUGGAUUACACGAGUUCAAGAAAUGGAUAUCUUGCAGUCUCAAUCACUACAAGCUGAGUUGCGUGAGCGUACUGAUCAGUUUGGUCAAUGUUGGGCCACUUUCCAGCAACAGUAUGUUGAAAUGCAGCAAGGUUUUCUGCAUACAAUACAACGACUCCAGCUAGAACUUAUUGAGUUAAGAGACCGUACUGGAGAACAAGAAGAUGUUUCGCAAGCUGCUCAGGAGGGUUCAGCUGAAGCGUCAUAUGUUCAAAGCAAGGGAAGCAACAUGGCUGCAAAUGGUAGUGCAUUAGCAGAUGGAAAUCAGUCCACAAAUGACUCCUUUAAGGGAAAUAAUGCCCAUGCUGUACCUGUUGUUCCAUCACUAUUGGGACUAAGUGGUUUUGUUCCUCCUGGGCAGAUGGCUGGGAUGCAUUCAUAUAUGCUGCAUCCUCAAGGCAUUCCUCAAUCUUUAGCCUCACCCAACUCUGGUGUUCCUCAAUUUGGUACUUUUCAGCCUACAAUCCAACCCACCAUGCACUGGCCUAAUCAACAGGAAGCACAAGCUGCCUCACAAACACCUGAUGCCACAAACUAUCACCCAUCACAAUCAGAUCAGAAUGCAUUACAGCCAGCUGCAUUGCAACCAGCUGCUAGCAACAAUGUUGAGCUGCCGUCUGGGCAGAGUCAGGUGACCCAUCCAGAGAAUCUUACAGCUCAUGGCGAGCAAGAACAACGUUCCACGAGUGUGGUUGCUGAAUCAACUCAAGAACCAAAGGUCAUGGAAUCCAAUGUUACCGAACAUUUUUACAAUGAAGAGCAAAAAGCCCAUGAUUCAUCUUCGAAUGCCAGCUCUACUGGAAAGUUUGAACGCCAAGAAGAAAGAUCGGAAUCAAAGGGCGAGAAAGUUGCAUCUGGCAAGCAGCCUGUGGAGCAUGUACCUAGGAAGCAGAAUCAAGCUUCAGAUUCUGCUGGGUCAACAACCCAGAUCCACAUGAACAAUAUGGCGCCAGAGUUAAAGUCUAAUGUUGUGAAUCAGUCCGACACACUUACAUCCGCAGGUGGUGGUGUGGGUUCACUGUUACCAAAGGAGCCUGUCCUUCUAGAUGAAAGAUGUCUGCUAGCCUGCAUUGUUCGUGCAGUCCCUGCUGGAUCUGAUAACCGAAUCAGGAUAAGUUCAACUCUGCCAAAUAGGCUUGGGAAAAUGUUGGCCCCUCUUCAUUGGCAUGACUAUAAGAAAAGUUAUGGGAAGCUAGAUGAUUUUGUGGCUAGUCACAAUGAGCUUUUUGUGAUUGAGGGAGAUUUCAUUCACCUUCGUGAAGGAGCACAACAGAUCAUUUCAGCUACAACAGCUGCUGCUAAAAUUGCUGCUGCUGCUGCGGCUGCAUCAUCUGCUUCUUACUCAUCGUUGCUGCCUUCAGUUGCUGUUACUCCUGUGGCACACACCACUCGUCAAAAGAGAGGACCUGUUGUUGAUUCCAGAUCUUCAAAUUCAAUGCCAUCAGGAAAUGGCUCUAAUACAGCUAAAUUUGGCAAUCAACACCAAGCGAAUGGCUUUUCUGAUGAAGUUCGAGCUGGGCAGUCAUCGAGGCACACAGCUGCUGCCAAUGGGGGAAGACAUGAACGAGUUGGUCCCCCUACAACACAUGAAAAAAUCCCAAGUGCCAGACAUGGUUAUGGAGGAAAGCAACAGGGCAGAUCUGCUGGGACCGAAUUCAGUUCAAGAAGAUAA
rnacentral:rRNA from 1 species